UACGGAGGAUGCGAGCGUUAUCCGGAUUUAUUGGGUUUAAAGGGUGCGUAGGCGGAUGCCAAGUCAGCGGUAAAAAUGCGGUGCUCAACGCCGUCGAGCCGUUGAAACUGGCGUUCUUGAGUGGGCGAGAAGUAUGCGGAAUGCGUGGUGUAGCGGUGAAAUGCAUAGAUAUCACGCAGAACUCCGAUUGCGAAGGCAGCAUACCGGCGCCCUACUGACGCUGAGGCACGAAAGCGUGGGUAUCGAACAGG
rnacentral:rRNA from 1 species